GACGAACGCUGGCGGCGUGCUUAACACAUGCAAGUCGAACGGAAAGGCCCUGCUUGCAGGGUGCUCGAGUGGCGAACGGGUGAGUAACACGUGGGUGAUCUGCCCCUUACUUUGGGAUAAGCCUGGGAAACUGGGUCUAAUACUGGAUAGGACCGUGCUGUUGGUGGUGUGGUGGAUAGAUUAGUUUCGGUAAGGGAUGAGCUCGCGGCCUAUCAGCUUGUUGGUGGGGUAAUGGCCUACCAAGGCGUCGACGGGUAGCCGGCCUGAGAGGGUGGACGGCCACAUUGGGACUGAGAUACGGCGCAGACUCCUACGGGGGGCAGCAGUGGGGAAGAUUGCACAAUGGGCGCAAGCCUGAUGCAGCGACGCCGCGGGGGGGAUGACGGCCUUCGGGUUGUAAACUCCUUUCAGCCAUGACGAAGCCCUUGUGGUGACGGUAGUGGUAGAAGAAGCACCGGCUAACUACGUG
rnacentral:rRNA from 1 species